CCUACGGGGGGCAGCAGUGGGGGAUAUUGCACAAUGGGGGGAACCCUGAUGCAGCGACGCCGCGUGGGCGAUGGAGUGCUUCGGCAUGUAAAGCCCUAUCAGCAGGGAAGAAAAUGACGGUACCUGACUAAGAAGCCCCGGCUAAAUACGUGCCAGCAGCCGCGGUAAUACGUAGGGGGCAAGCGUUAUCCGGAUUUACUGGGUGUAAAGGGAGCGUAGGCGGUUUGUCAAGUCUGAAGUGAAAGACCGGGGCCCAACCUCGGGGCUGCAUUGGAAACUGCGUGGCUAGAGUGCAGGAGAGGUAGGCGGAAUUCCUAGUGUAGCGGUGAAAUGCGUAGAUAUUAGGAGGAACACCAGUGGCGAAGGCGGCCUGCUGGACGGUGACUGACGCUGAGGCUCGAAAGCGUGGGGAGCAAACAGGAUUAGAUACCCGGGUAGUC
rnacentral:rRNA from 1 species